rnacentral:miRNA from 1 species
AACAGCUUCAUCGACCAGAGGGGAUUUCUUCCGAUUGAUGAGGUUGUUACACCUCAUCAAUCAGAAGGGAUUACUUCCAAUUGAUGAGGUUGUU